UACGUAGGGUGCAAGCGUUAAUCGGAAUUACUGGGCGUAAAGCGUGCGCAGGCGGUUAUGUAAGACAGAUGUGAAAUGCCCGGGCUUAACCUGGGAACUGCAUUUGUGACUGCAUGGCUAGAGUUUGGCAGAGGGGGGUAGAAUUCCACGUGUAGCAGUGAAAUGCGUAGAGAUGUGGAGGAACACCGAUGGUGAAGGCAGCCCCCUGGGCCAAUACUGACGCUCAUGCACGAAAGCGUGGGGAGCAAACAGG
rnacentral:rRNA from 1 species